UUUAAGCAUUAUAAGUGUAUCCUAUUUGCAAAAUAGGGAGGAUUGAGUUAUAAU
rnacentral:tRNA from 1 species